rnacentral:rRNA from 1 species
AUUGAACGCUGGCGGCAGGCCUAACACAUGCAAGUCGAACGAUUGGCGAACGGGUUAGUAAUGUCUGGGAAACUGCCUGAUGGAGGGGGAUAACUACUGGAAACGGUAGCUAAUCCCGCAUACCAUCGGAUGUGCCACGAUGGGAUUAGCUAGUAGGUUGGGUAAAGGCUCACCUAGGCGACGAUCCCUAGCUGGUCUGAGAGGAUGACCAGCCACCCUGGAACGUAGACACGGUCCAGAAGCCUACGGGAGGCAGCAGUGGGGAAUAGUGCACAAUGGGCGCAAGACUGAUGCAGCCAUGCCGCGUGUAUGAAGAAGGCCUUCGGGUUGUAAAGUACUUUCAGCGGGGAGGCGUUACCCGCAGAAGAAGCACCGGCUAACUCCGUGCCAGCAGCCGCGGUAAUAC